rnacentral:lncRNA from 1 species
UUGUUUUAUGGCAGUAUUUGAGAAUGUCGACUGAGAAUGUUAACAGUGGAGUAAAUGAGACCAUGGCGAUGCCUGUACUCACCAAUGAGGAGAACGUGCAGCAGGCUGGCAAUGUUCCUCCUGUGAACAACGCCACUGAGCAGAUGAUGAACGACGGGAUGUUUAGAAGUUUUUUGCAGUUCAUGCAAAAUCAGACGAGGGAGACUCGUGCACAAAAUACAGGUGAAAAUGAUAACAACGCACGAUUUGUCACGACCAAACAGUUCAAAGAGUUG